rnacentral:lncRNA from 1 species
AGCAAGAAGACACGUGGUACAAGACCCCUUUCACCUUUUCUUUUAUCCGUUCUCCAAAGAAAUCCAACCGAGUGGAGGAACCUUUUUUUGACCACAGCCAAAGUACUACUACGUACUAGUAGUCUAUAUCACAAGGAACACUGUUUUUUUUUCUUACCAAAGUCCCAUGUGCCAAUGAAAAAAAUUGUCACGUGAUUCUCUCCUUGUUUUGCAUAUCCAAACCAAGUAGUAGUGCAAUUCAUUGGGACACAAAUAUGUUUAUUUUUAAUCUAAAGUCCAAACGUUGAAACAAACAACCCUCCUGAUUAACCCACAGAUUUCUUUCCAAAUCAGAGUUUGAUAGGACGUGUGACAAGUCCUUUCCAAAAAUGCGGCCCAUCAACUUUCUCUCUCUCCUUCUCGUUCUCCAACAAACCAUCCGAAGUACCUUUUUUAUCUUGGUUCACAAGGAAACAAAUCCACACUUGAAUGCUCUUUCCAUUUAAAACUUCCAAUAGAUAAUGAUUCUUUUUUUCGCUGGAAACUAAACUUGCCAGUCAAACCGAAAUUGCCUUCCAAAUAUCACGUUUGCAGCCUCAAUUCUAGGCACUAUUCACGUUUUUUUCUUUAUGACUGAUCUUGCUUGCCUUUCUCUCUCUCUCCCUCUCUCUUGACUCAAUCACCAAGAGCUUUCCAAAUAAACAAAUUGACUAGCACUUUCCCAGUAAAUCUUCCCGGAUCGGAUCCGACUUGCCUAUCUGAUGGAGGGUGGAACGCUAGAGGGCCGAUCUUUCACGAAAGGAGCAGAUCCUGCGAUGAACAUGACGAACACGAGGGGAAGCACGAGGGAAAACAUGAGGGGAAACACGAGGGAAUCACUCAAACCAACAGGAACGAUUACACAUGUGCUAGAUCCAUGAACACAACGGUAAUACAAGAUCCAAAGUCAACAAGGGACGAUACAAAGGGUAGCCGGUACUUCUCCGUGAGGAGGUCUUCAAUCCACGAGGGGAUCUUAUCAUAAAAGGGGUCUUGAAUCCAAGGUGGAUCUUCUCCAAAGAGGGUCCGCGAUCUCUCUCAAGGAGUAGAUCUGUAUGGAUGAGUCAAGCUCUAUCUCUCAAAUGAGCUAUCAGAACACUAACCCUAACUAGGCGGAGGGGAAGGAGUAUAUAUAGUCUAGUUCAUGAAGGGGUAAGUGAGAGGGGGGAUACAUGGGCCUCGGGCCCUGUCCAUGCGCGCAGGUAGGCGCCGGAUGUCUGGGCUGGGGCCCGGAUGUCUGGCCGUUCGCGGGGCGCCGGAUGUCCGGGGCACUCGCCGGAUGUCCACCCUGGCGGUGACCGAAACUGUUACUCUCUAGAUAGCUACUGUCUGGAUUUUCGGGGGUGGGCGCCGGAUCUCCGGCCGCUGAUGUUGUUGGCCGUAUGUUGGGGCAGCUCCUGCGCGGCUGCCCAGGCAUCGGAUGUGCGGCCUCUAGCCCGGAUCUUCGGCCGCUGUAGCUUCAACAUCUCCAUCUUCUUCCAUCAUCGCUUCCAGGCUUCCCUCACGGAUGUUGUAGUUUUUCCUUGGCGCAUUCACUCCUCCUUGUCUUCCGUGAAGCUUCGACAAUACCUAUGCACGCACACGGGAGAAGUAUCAAGUAGUAUACCAUCCUCGAAGGGGUCAAGUGAGCACGUGUAAAGGAGAUGAUUCACCUUUGUGUAUGUCAAAUAGAUGUCACACGUGUCACUCGCCAAACGGACUCUUGACAUGGUGAUGUCCAUAGGGUGCUCCGCAUCAUCUCCCCUCCCUGGGGAAAGAUCCGACCUAGGAUCGAAAACCAAAUCACCAUGGGAAAGAGAUGGCUUCGUCGUGUAGAAGUGGACGUUCACCAAGUACUUGUCAUCUUGAAGCUGGAAGUGGGCAGUCUCCAAUGUGCACUGUCUUGUGAUUCCUUCAAAAGGAGUAAGGCCAACAAACACUUGAAAAAACAAAUGUAGUUAGCUUUAGUGCAAAACCAAGCAUUCAAGAGGUGAGUGACCAAACAAGUGUCGUCAUCAUGCAAAGCAUAUGGUGACAAAGGAUUGUGACAUGGCAUGUAAGUAUAUCAAUCGAGCACAAGCAAAGAUAUCAUGGGGACAAGCAUGUAAAUGUGACGUAGUGAUGCAAAUAUGUGUAACAAGAGAAUAAGCAUCUACCUCAAAGUCAUAGCAAGCAUGUGCAAAGCGCUCAAGGAAAGGUCUAUGGUAGGCAUAAGAAGCAUUCACAACACCAAAGAAGGUGAUAUGUCUAAACACAUGGGUCAAGUGCAAGAAAAUCCAAGCAUAACAUGCACAGGGUGUAGUGAAUAUCGUGUGGCACUCAACACAAUGGAAAGAGCAAUUGUUCAUCAUGUGUGAGGCAAUCAAGUCAAUCAUGUGACAAGCAAGGGGACAUGGCAUAAGGGGAGAAAUGACAUUGUUGCAACCAAACAUAUGAGAGGAGCAAGUAAUCCAAGAAUUAGAUGCAACACACAAGGAAUAUAUAUCAUGAUGCAUGGAACGGUGAAAAUGACAAGUCAAAGCAAGAUCUCUAACAUGUGCGCAAUCAAAUGGUCCAAGAUGACCAAUAAGUCUCAAGGUGCAAGCAACACAAGUAGUAUGAUCCAUAAUAUCCAUGCUCACGAAAGAUGUCACCUUGAAGGCGUGUCCUUGUGCAUUCUUCACAAUGCCGAAGUACAAGCAAGUGCGAUGUAGAAUCAUCGUGGUAGAAGGUGGUUCGCUCUCAAGAGCUCGAAUGCUCAACUCACGUGAUGUGGAAGUCGACACAAAGUCCAAGUAUCCUGCACAUGCACACAACAAAAGAAAGAAUAUAUGUGCACGGUAGAUAAACACAUCAUCCAUCAUGAUGGUUCUCUUCUCUUGAACAUAACCAUUAGAAGCACAAGUGCAUGAAAAAUAUCAUGCAAAAAUGGCUAUAUUCAUGGCACUAAGUAUAUGGUGCAAAGAGGUAAGACAAGCAUGCUUCCCAAGGAAUAUGUCAAAAUCUCGUAAUAUAUGUGAGAAUGCUAUGGGGGAAAACUCAUGAGCAAGACUAAUAUCAUUGUUGCAUGCAAUACAUGGCAAAUCAUCUAGCAUGAGGGAGGCAACAUAUGGAGGUAUAUGACAAGAAGCAAGAACAAUCAUGCGCAAAGCAUGGUAAUGGUUGUUAUCAACCGUAUGAAGUGGGAAAGCAUGACUCAUUAGGGAUGCAACAUAAGCAAGCAUAGUAAUCAAGUUGUGCAAACUAGUGGAGCGAAGAUGCAACACACUAGGGGAAAUCAUGGCAAUCAUGUCAUGUGAGCAAAUACUAGGCAUAGGCAAUGCGCAUGACAUAUCGCGAGCACGAACAAAAAGCAAGAUCAAAGUAUCAUCAUAGGAAUGGGUCAUAGGAUGAACAUGGCAAUAACAAGCAAUAUCUCCACCAAGCAUGCAAAUACACAUACAAGUAUGAGAAUCAAUCAUCAUGUGUAAUGCAAAACACGGGUCACAAAUGCAUGGCAAAGGCAUAAUAAUUAGCAUAUCAUGCAAAGUGAACACGACAAGAUGGGCAUAUAAUAUAUAAUGGACAAUAACCCAUAGGCAAGUGAGGGUCAUGUAGAGGAAAUGCGUGAAGUCUUUGCGCGAAGAGAGCGGUGGGAAAGACAAUCCAUGGGAUCCCUUGCAAGUCAUCAUUGCUCUCUAGAACUAGUUUUGUCAACUCGUGGGAUUGCGAGGUUGACAAGUAUUCAUGGGUACCUACAUAAAAGAGACACAAACCAAAGAAAUUGUGUGCGUGGUAAAUGUACACAUCAUCCAUCUCGAUGUGUAUGUGCGCGUCUUAUUUAGCACAAGAUAAGCAUUGCUCAAAGAAAUUUUAUGCAUGGUAUAAGAACAUGUCAUCCAUCAUGAAAGAAUAGUUAUUGUGUAUAACACGAUGGGGAGACAAAUUGAGAAUGCAAGUAUAUGGCACAUCAAUAGCAUGUUUAUUCAUGGGAAGCAUAUUGUGUACACAAGUAUUGGAAUCAUGCAAUGGAUAGGAUGAAUCAAAAUCUUCUAAAAUUUAUGACGAAACUAUGGGGGUCUCCUCAUGAGCAAUAGCGGGAAUAUCAUAUGGAGAAAAUGGACAACAUCCAAAACACUGCAUAUCCGAAGCUAGGUGGUCAUGGCAUGGCAUAUGAGAUAAAUGAUGCAAAGGGAGCAUAUCAAUAUCAUCACAAGAAAAACAAAUGCCAAUAACCAUGGGCUUGUCAUCUAUGCCAUAUGUGCAAAUUGGGUUUAUUUUAAUAUCAUAUGCAUAGUCACUAUGAAGAGAUUGCAAAUAUGACAUAUGAUGAUCUCAUGCAUACCAUAUGACAAGUCAAGCGGAUUGGCAAACAUGAUGUCACCUAAAGAAUUUUCACAAGAAAUCCUAUGCAACAUGACAUCACAACUAAUAGACUCCACAUGGAAAUCAUCAAACUUAUCAUAAAUGGGUAAAUCAUCGCAUGGGGAAAUCAUACUAGCAUGAAGCAUGGAAAUAGGCUCAUCAACAUCAUGCAAGUGGGACAAGAGUAUCACCUUCACCUAUGUUACCUUGUUCAUUACACUCAUGUGAUGUAGGUGAGGUGGGAAAGACCAAAUGGUGAUCAUCUUCAUCUUGAUGGAACCAUGUGGGGGUGCAUCAUAUUCCACCAUGGCCACCGUCUUGUCAAAAGGGAGGACGUAGUCGACGCGAAUCGGCGCGUCAUCAUAUAUGGGACGUAGCACCAAAUGAGAAGACACAAUAGAGGUAGAGGUCAAGUUGUUAGAAAUGCAAAUGGCCUCAUGAGACCUAUCGACUAUCUCACUCUCUAUAUGUGGUGGUUCACUCACUCCCUCAUGGUAGGUGCACUCAAUCUCACGUAUGGUGGAGUCACUCAUCUCACUCAAGUGGUGGGGGUUAUGGCUCUCCUCACAUGGGAAUUGGGGCAACACAUCAUAUAUGUGGCUAGUGGUGAAGUCACUCUCAGUACUAAUAUGGAGGCACAAGUCACUCAAGUUAUCAUACAUCGCCGUGGUCGAAGGGAAAAUCCCAUUCUCAACCAUCUUGUCGUCGUCGCCAUGGAUGAUGGCCCGAAGAUGGCACAUCAUCACUCUCGCCUCCUAAGAUGGAAGCAUCAUCCUUGCUCGUCACCAAGUCGCUCGCCUCCAAAUAUUGGUUCUUGAAGGUCUUCGUAGUCGUACUCGUCGCCGCACCAUCUUGAAAAAGAGUCGAAGUAGACUCGGCAUCAUCAAUGCCGCAAAGAGGGAUGGCGUUGAAGUCGAACUUGGGAGCAUCGUCGGGCUUGGACAUCUUGGUGGUACUAUCCUCAUGCUCGCCUUCUUGGAGCUUGGUUUUCAAGAAGUGUUCUUGUGGUGGGGAAGCCUUGGCCUUCAUGAGUUCUUGUUCCGCCUUGAGAGCACCAAUGUAGUUGUCGGCGAGGGACUUAUAGUUCUCGAGGAAGAUAGUCUUGGAGAUUUCGUUGUUCAAUCCCAUCAUGAAGUGGAACUUCAUCGAAAUGGGGUCGUCCACGCCGGCUUGUCGCAAGGCAAUCUUCAUAUCCUUGAAGUACUCAUUGAUGGACUUGGAUGCUUGGAUGGUGUUCUCCAAUUGGCGUUGAAGUUGUUCCUUGUAGGUUGGAGGCACGAACUCUCGCUGCAAAGCUCUCUUUGUCUUGGGCCAACUCAUGUUGUAGGUCUCUGAAGGUGCGUCAAGCCACCAUGUGGAUGCGCAGUCGUGGAAGUUCCUUGUGGCGCACUUCACUUGAUCUUCGGGAGGAACUUGAUGUAGCUUGAGGUAGUCGUCCAUCAAAUGCUCCCACUCGAGAAACUCCUCGGGUUCUAGGGUCCCAUGGAAAUGAAUCUCAUGGUCGGUGUCGAGGUUGUAGUAGCUCAUGGAAGUCGCAUACUUGAGCUUGGGGGGCUUCUCUUGAGCGUAGUCUUGAUGUGCUUGUUGGUGAAGAUGCCGUAUAUCCAUAGGUGAAGAUGCCUUGAAGUCGCUUGGCAAAGAUGCCAAGGGAGAUGGUGAAGUCGUUGAGCGGUUGUUGGUGUUGAGCUCUUGACCUGUAACACCCCGGAUGUAAUUUACCUUAUAUGUAUUCCAACUCUUGCCGUUUCCGGCGUUAAGUUAUUUUAUUUUCUCGGGUUCGGGUUUUUGUCUCCAUGUGUUGUUAUCGGUGUCAUGCAUCUCAUAUCAUGUCAUCAUGUGCAUUGCAUUUUCAUACGUGUUCAUCUCAUGCAUUCGAGCAUUUUCCCCGUUGUCCGUUUUGCAUUCCGGCGCUUCGUUCUCCUCCGGUGGUCAUUUCUACCUUUCUUUCGUGUGUGGGGAUUAAACAUUUCUGUAUUGGACCGAGACUUGCCAAGCGUCCUUGGUUUACUACCGGUAGACCGCCUAUCAAGUUUUGUACCAUUUGGACUUCGUUUGAUACUCCAACAGUUAACCGAGGGACCGAAAAGGCCUCGUGUGUGUUGCAGCCCAACACCCCUCCAAGUUGGCCCAAAACCCACCUAAACCCUCUCCAUCAUCUAGAGCGUUCGAUCACGAUCGCGUGGCCGAAAACCGCACCUCAUUUGGAACUUCCUAGCUCCUCCUACCUCUAUAAAUAUGCCCUCCCCAAAAUUCCGGAUCCAAACCACCCUAACCCUAGCCCCGCUCCUCAUCUGCGCGCCGGACACGUCCGUCCGCGCGCCGGAUAUCGCCGCCGCCCACUCCCGUCGUGCCAUGAGGCGGGCGUGCCCACAUCGCCGCCGCCGGCCCGCUCAGCCCGCGCGGGGCCCUCCCCGGCCCNNNNNNNNNNNNNNNNNNNNNNNNNNNNNNNNNNNNNNNNNNNNNNNNNNNNNNNNNNNNNNNNNNNNNNNNNNNNNNNNNNNNNNNNNNNNNNNNNNNNNNNNNNNNNNNNNNNNNNNNNNNNNNNNNNNNNNNNNNNNNNNNNNNNNNNNNNNNNNNNNNNNNNNNNNNNNNNNNNNNNNNNNNNNNNNNNNNNNNNNNNNNNNNNNNNNNNNNNNNNNNNNNNNNNNNNNNNNNNNNNNNNNNNNNNNNNNNNNNNNNNNNNNNNNNNNNNNNNNNNNNNNNNNNNNNNNNNNNNNNNNNNNNNNNNNNNNNNNNNNNNNNNNNNNNNNNNNNNNNNNNNNNNNNNNNNNNNNNNNNNNNNNNNNNNNNNNNNNNNNNNNNNNNNNNNNNNNNNNNNNNNNNNNNNNNNNNNNNNNNNNNNNNNNNNNNNNNNNNNNNNNNNNNNNNNNNNNNNNNNNNNNNNNNNNNNNNNNNNNNNNNNNNNNNNNNNNNNNNNNNNNNNNNNNNNNNNNNNNNNNNNNNNNNNNNNNNNNNNNNNNNNNNNNNNNNNNNNNNNNNNNNNCGCCGACGCGCCUCGCCGCCCCGGCGCGCUCCGGCCGGCCUCGUCCUCGCUCCACCUCGACCCCGGCGCUCAUCUUCCUCCGAUCCGGCCGACUCGGACGUCAACUCCGGUGGAAUGGCGACGAACCUCGAACCGCGUGCAAACCCGAUCCAGAUCUGAGAUUCGGUUGAUUUUCCGUCCCUAACCCUGAUUUUUUUGCCUAUGUUCAUCGUGUCGUAACUCCUCAUCCGUAGCUCCGUUUUGGGCGUGUAGAAUAUCAAAAUGUUCACCUCGGAGAGUACAUCAUUUCAUCUCAUUGCAUCAUUUUCAUUUGAGUUCAACUUGAUGCCCGAAGUGCUGUUGGAAGAGUGCUAUUUGAGAUAAUUGUCAGAUCUGCUGCUCCAUUUAGAUAUUUGUCAUUUUUGCCAUGAUUAUUGUGUGCAUGUUAUGCCCAUGAGCUCUAUAUAUGUUUUGUUAAGGGUUUUGUCAUCUUUCCAGAGGUGCAACCCAUGUAUUUUUGUGAUGUGUGUGGUGACUAGCACGAGCUUGCAAAGUGGAGCAUUUGUUAAUGCUGAUUUCAGGGACUUAGCAUUUCCACUAAGUCUUUGGACUGUUUAUCUCAUAUGGCCAUAUGUUCAUGUUGUUUCCUAGUGAUUCGUGCCUCUUUUGAGGAUGAUCAGUAAGGAUGUUUUGUUAAUCUGGUAGUGCUCUAUCCAGCCAUAUCUUUUUUUCAAUUAUGGAGCACCCUAGAUUGAGUCAAUCGAGCUCUACUUUUGCUAUUUCGUGAAUCUGGGCAGAUGGCCUACUUGUUAGCGAUUUUGCCGAUGAUGUUGUAGUUGACCCGUGCAUGCUAUGUUAUUGUUCAUGCCAUGUCUAGCUUGUAUUUUGUGUAUUCUUGAUGGGUGUAUUCUUAUAUUGUCAUGACUUGCUCUUUAGUGAGUGCAUCGAGCUCGUAAACAUGCCUACUUGAUAUCUGUUUUCAGCAUGCUCCAGUUUUCACUAAGUCUGUGAACUGAUUAUGUUUUUGCCAUGUUCACAUGCUUGCAAAUGUAUUUUCUGAUCACUUUUGGCUCAAGGUCACUAAGGGACUUUUGUUAAGCUCUUUGAGUAGCUCCAUGCCAAGCUUUACUUUGCCAUGUUAAGGUCCUGUAGCACGUAGUUUCCAUGCUCCAAAGAGUGCUAUCUGAUCUGAAAUUCCAGACAAGUGUUAAUUUCACCAAGUCUGAGAUCUGUUUGCCAAAUGCAUUUUUGCCAUGCUUAUUUGAACCUGUUAAUGGAUGAAUUGGGCGUAGCUCAGUGCUAGACUUUUGUUAAGCCUCUUGAAUGGAUCCCUUCCAUGUAUUUUGAUGCCAUGUUUGGGUGCUGUAGCAUGUUCAUCUUGUUGCAUUUAGAUGGCUACUUGCUGUAAAUCGCAGAACGUGGUCAUAUUUGAAUCGCUUGUCAUUUCCAAACCGCAACUCCGAUUCCGGCGUUCUUUAUAUUGUUUUCAAGCGAUUUGAUCUCAUCUUUCCAGUGGCACACUUGGAUUUCCAAGUUGAGGCCAGGUUCAUGCCUUGUCACAUCUUGCAUAUGCAUCCCGCAUCGCAUCCCGCAUAUCAUACCAUCUUUGCAUCAUUGUUUGAGCUUUGCACGUGGUUGAUUGUGUCCUUGUUACUUGUUUGUCUUGUUUGGGUAGAGCCGGGAGACGAGUUCGCUAACUUUGCAGGCAAGAUGAUCAUACCCUCGAAAUCACUACUAUCUUUGCUUUACUAGAUGCUCGCUCUUUUGCUAUGCCUAUGCUACGAUGCCUACCACUUGCUUAUCAUGCCUCCCAAAUUGCCAUGUCAAACCUCUAACCCACCAUGUCCUAGAAAACCGUUGAUUGGCUAUGUUACCGCUUUGCUCAGCCCCUCUUAUAGUGUUGCUAGUUGCAGGUGAAGAUUGGAGACCGUUCCUUGUUGGGACAUUAUUUACUUGUUGGGAUAUCAUUAUAUUGCCAUGUUAUCUUAAUGCAUCUAUAUACUUGGUAAGGGUGGAAGGCUCGGCCUCUCACCUAGUGUUUUGUUCCACUCUUGCCGCCCUAGUUCCCGUCAUAUCGGUGUUAUGUUCCUGGAUUUUUGCGUUCCUUACGCGGUUGGGUUAUAAUGGGAACCCCUGGAUAGUUCGCCUUGAUUAAAGCUUUUCCAGCAAUGCUCAACCUUGGUUUUACCAUUUGCCACCUAGCCUCUUUUUCCGUUGGGUUUCCGGAGCCCGAGGGUCAUCUUAUUUAACCCCCCCCCCCCGGGGGGGGGGGCCAGUGCUCCUCUGAGUGUUGGUCCAACUCGUCAGCCGCCGGUGGCUACCAGGGGCAACUCUGGGCUUGCCUACCGGAAGUUUAGACAAUCUGAGUGUGCCCUAAGAACGAGAUAUGUGCAGCUCCUCUCAGGAUUUGUCGGCACAUUCGGGCGGUGUUGGAUUUGUUUUAACCUGUCGAAGUGUCUUGAAGAACCAAGAUACCGAGUCUGAUCGGAACGUCUCGGGAGGAGGUCUAUUCUUUCGUUGACCGUGAGAGCUUGUCAUGGGCUAAGUUGGGACUCCCUGCAGGGAUUUGAACUUUCGAAAGCCGUGCCCGCGGUUAUGGGCAGAUGGGAAUUUGUUAAUGUCCAGUUGUAGAUAACUUGAACCUUAACUAAAUUUAAAUGAAUCAACAUUGUGAGUUACCAUGAUGGCCUCUUCUCGGCGGAGUCCGGGAAGUGGACACGGUGUUGGAGUAAUGUUUGCCGCAGGAUUGCCCUCUAGUUACUCGUUCGCGCUUUGCCUCCUCUUCUCGCUCUCUUUUGCGAACAGGAUAGCCACCAUAUAUGCUAGUCUCUUACUGCAGCUCCACAUAAUUUUUCCCUUGCCUUACCUAUAAGCUUAAAUAGUCUUGAUCGCUAGGGUGCGAGAUUGCUGAGUCCCUGUGGCUCACAGAUUACUUCCAAACCAGAUGCAGGGCCUGAUGAUUCCGCUCCAGAUGACGCGCUUGAGCUCAAGUGGGAGUUCGACGAGGACUCUCAACGAUACUACGUGUCUUUCCCUGAUGAUCAGUAGUGAUGCCUAGUUGGGGGUGAUCGGGACCGUGUCACAUGUUGGGUUUAUCUUUCAUUUUGGCGCCGUAGUCGGGCCAUGAGUGUUUGGAUGUUGUGAUGCUAUUUAUGUACUUUGAUUGACGUGGCGAGUGUAAGCCAACUAUGUAUCUCCCCUUUAUUAUUUAUAUUACAUGGGAUCUUGUGAAGAUUGCCUAACUUGUGACAUUGCUUUCAAUGCGGUUAUGUCUCUAAGUUGUGCCUCGACACGUGGGAGCUAUAGCCGCAUCGAGGGCGUUACAUGACCUUCAUGUCCUUGUUGGUGAGGGUGUCGAUGCCGAUGUGAUUUUGCCGAAGAUGGUAGCUCAGAGGCUUGUGCUCUUGAGCGUAUUCUCGAAGAUGAGGAAGACCGCUUGUAGGACUUGAUGAGGGCUUUGAUCUCGUCCAUUUGAGCUUGCAUCUUGGCGUUGUUAGAGUUGUUCGCGGCAUCGAACUCGUCGUUGUUUUUGUAGACCGAAGAUGAAAUGCCUUUCCUAUACAUCACAAGACUCGAGCAAAUAUGAGUGGGAGAAAGAUAAAAACUAUACCAAAUGUACCUUGACCGAUGUUGAAGAUGGAUCAAUGAUCACUCAAUAAUGUAACAAGGAAAUAGCACAAUUGGUAUCGAUCUUGUCCAUUCUCACACCUACACAAGUAAAUAUUAUGGAGUAGCUCGGUGAGGAUAGUGGCACAAAAAUUUAAUGCAAAAUGUUAGCAAGAGUCAAUAAUGUUGAAAGAGAUUCACAAAUUCACAAGUGAAACAAGUAGACCAAUAGCAAUGAAUGGCACUCGAAACGCACACACGGAUAGAUAAACGCACACCUUAGCAAAUGGAAAAACCGCGAACUCAAAAUCUCAAAUGUCAAAUGGUGGUAGCGGGAUGCGGUGGUGGUUGCGAAAGCUCAGUGGGAUUGCGGAAAUGCAAUGAUGGGUUUUGAGACGCAAUGCGGAAGUGGAGGGUAAGGUGGUGGACUAUACACGGUGUCAUAGUUGGAAGUACGGUCCCUAAGUAGCCUAAACACCUUAGGAGACACAACUAUCAACACAAACAAAAUUGCGUUAAGUCGAGGUGGUGGAAGUGUAUGGUGGGCAAGCCUAUGCGGAUGUUAUGGUGGUCGUGGUGGUUGACGAAGAAGCAAUUGUCCCUAAGUAGCCUAAACACCUUAGGAGACUCAAAUCACAACUCAAACAAACACUAAUGCUAAGGGGGACAAAAUGGUUUAGGUUGCAGAAGGCUAUGGUGGUUUUGCGGAAGUUAAGGUGGAAGCCCUAGGCAAAGAUGCCAAAGUUCCAAACAUUUGAUGGGGUCAAAUGAUGUUGGAAGUAUUUUUAUGGGAACGGGAAUGUCAAUAGAUUCUCAACGAGCUAAAGAACGCGAAAAUAUGACUCCAUAUGAAUUAGUUAUGGAUAAAACGGUGAAACGGAACAGGCUGAGUUGCCAGGGGCCGAACAUCCAUGGUUGGGUCCGGAUUUCUGAGUGUCAGUGUCCAUAACUAAGAAGAUUUGGCCUUCCAGGAGCCGGAUGUCCGGUUGGGGACCCGGAUGUCCGGCCCAAUGGCCCGGAUUUCCGGCCCGACGAUUCUAGAUCUCGUUUGGGGUGGAAAUUUUUGAAUUGGGGGCGGAAAUUGAUGAUUUUGGGGGCAAAAUUGUAGAGAUUUCAUCGAUGGAAAGUGGGGAGAUGCUAGAUCGACUCGAAACCAAGAAAAUGCAUGGAUCAAAUCCAACAAAACCUCAUCAAACCAACAAAUCACAAAAAAAUUGGGGCUAUUUUCGGUGGGGAUUUUCAAAAUUGGGGAAGGACACAACAAAAUUAGGCUAGAAAACAACGAGGGGAGGCUCUGAAAACGUGAUAAAUGUGGCUCAUGAUACCAAGAUGAUGUAGGGUGGAACCCUAGAAGGCCGAUCUUUCACGAAAGGAGCAGAUCCCGCGAUGAACACGACGAACACGAGGGGAAACACGAGGGGAAGCACGAGAGAAUCACUCAAACCAACAAGAACAAUCACACAUGUGCUAGAUCUAUGAACACAAAGGUAAUACAAGAUCCAAAUUCAACAAGGGAUGAUACAAAGGGUAGCCG